UGGCUGUCGUCAGCUCGUGUCGUGAGAUGUUGGGUUAAGUCCCGCAACGAGCGCAACCCUUAUUUUUAGUUGCCUUUUAUGGAACUCUAGAAAGACUGCUGGUUAUAAACCGGAGGAAGGCGGGGAUGACGUCAAGUCAGCAUGCCCCUUACACCCUGGGCUACACACGUGCUACAUUGGGCGAGACAAUGAGAUGCAACUCUGCGAAGAUUAGCUAAUCUAUAAACUCGUUUUAAGUUCGGAUUGUAGGCUGCAACUCGCCUGCAUGAAGGUGGAAUC
rnacentral:rRNA from 1 species